rnacentral:rRNA from 1 species
UACGUAGGCAGCGAGCGUUGUUCGGAAUUACUGGGCGUAAAGAGUGUGUAGGCGGUGCUCCCAGUCUGUUGUGAAAUCUCCCGGCUUAACUGGGAGGGUGCAGCGGAAACUAGAGUGCUAGAGGGUGGGAGAGGUAAGCGGAAUUCCUGGUGUAGCGGUGAAAUGCGUAGAUAUCAGGAGGAACACCUGUGGUGUAGACGGCUUUCUGGACCAUUGCUGACGCUGAGACACGAAAGCGUGGGUAGCAAACAGG